rnacentral:ncRNA from 1 species
GAGCAACUUAGGAUUUUAGGCUCAUCCCGUCUGCGCUCGAAGGCAGGCGGGGUACAAACCCUGCGGGCCUGGCGGUGCCGCAGAGGUCAAAAUCUAUCCGCCGGAG